AUGGCUUCUUGGCCAAGACCAGAUUGAAUUGUUGCCAGAUGAUAUGAAGUAAACCAGGUCCAUCACACAAGGGGCACCUUCUUGUUCUAAGUUGAUGUCGUUCCGUCACAUGAGGCCGGUGCCACGUAUCAGAGGUCUACGGUGACUUUGUUUCGUGAUAUGAUUCAUCGUGAAAGCAAAUGCCAUGUUGAUGACAUGAUGGCAAAGUCCCAAGCAGAACAGGGGCAUCCGGUAGACUUGGGGCAAGUUGUUUGACCGUUUGAGAUAACUCAUACUUUUGAGUCUGAAUCAGUGCACUUAUGGAGUGUUGUCCAUCAAGCUACCGAGGCUUGUUGUGAGCGAAUCAGAGGAAUCGAGGUCGAUCCUGCUAAAAAAAAAAAAAAAAAAAAAAAAAAAAAGAGGGUAAGUUGUAGGAACCUCUGAUUCCGAUACCUCAGUGAAAGAAAUAACUGUUAAUCCGGUACUUGAUAACCCUCGAGGGGUCUACGAGGUGCGUAUUGAGUCAG
rnacentral:lncRNA from 1 species